GCACGAACUUAGCCCGUGCUUCCUCUGAGGCUAUGUCAAUCCAAUCAGAUUGCUGACUGGAAUUUCAUCCCCUCUGACAGUGGUUUACAACCCAAGGGCCUUCAUCCCACACGCGGCGUCGCUCGGUCAGGCUUGCGCCCAUUGCCGAAGAUUCUCGACUGCAGCCACCCGUAGGUGUCUGGGCAGUAUCUCAGUCCCAGUGGUGGGGGUCAUGCUCUCACACCCCCUACGCAUCGAAGCCUUGGUGAGCCAUUACCUCACCAACUAGCUAAUACGAAGCAGGCCGCUCCUCUGGUGGAAUCACACCUUUGCUUCCGAAUCAUUACGACUCGGGAGAUUAUCGGGUAUUACCCACAGUUUCCCGUGGCUAUCCCCGACCGGAGGGUACGUCACCUACCUGUUACUACCCCGUUUGCCGCUGUCCCCCCUUGCGGUGUUCUAACU
rnacentral:rRNA from 1 species